CACGGGGUUGCGAGCGUUGUCCGGAAAUACUAGGCGUAAAGGGCAGGCAGGCGGAUCCAUAAGUUUAUCGUUUAAGGCGUCGGCUUAACCGGCGUAGGGCGGUAGAUACUGUGGAUCUGGAAUGCGGUUGGGGAAGACAGAAUUCCUGGUGUAGCGGUGGAAUGCGCAGAGAUCAGGAGGAAUACCGAAGGCGAAGGCAGUCUUCCAAGCCGUUAUUGACGCUCAACUGCGAAGGUGUGGGUAUCAAACAGGAUUAGAUACCCCUGUAGUCCCUGA
rnacentral:rRNA from 1 species